AACGAACGCUGGCGGCAUGCCUAACACAUGCAAGUCGAACGAGAUCCUUCGGGGUCUAGUGGCGCACGGGUGCGUAACGCGUGGGAAUCUGCCCUUAGGUUCGGAAUAACAGUUAGAAAUGACUGCUAAUACCGGAUGAUGACGUUAAGUCCAAAGAUUUAUCGCCUGAGGAUGAGCCCGCGUAGGAUUAGCUAGUUGGUGUGGUAAAGGCGCACCAAGGCGACGAUCCUUAGCUGGUCUGAGAGGAUGAUCAGCCACACUGGGACUGAGACACGGCCCAGACUCCUACGGGAGGCAGUAGUGGGGAAUAUUGGACAAUGGGCGCAAGCCUGAUCCAGCAAUGCCGCGUGAGUGAUGAAGGCCUUAGGGUUGUAAAGCUCUUUUACCCGAGAUGAUAAUGACAGUAUCGGGAGAAUAAGCCCCGGCUAACUCCGUG
rnacentral:rRNA from 1 species